GGAUAACAUGCCCUAGAGUGGAGGAUAAUCUCGGGAAAUUGAGGAUAAUACUCCAUAAAUCACAGGAUCUGGAACGACCUGUGGUUGAAAGUUCCGGCGCUCUAGGAUUGGUCUGCGGCCUAUCAGGUAGUAGUGGGUGUAAUGGACCCACUAGCCUAUGACGGGUAUGGGCCUUGAGAGAGGGAGCCCAGAGAUGGAUUCUGAGACACGAAUCCAGGCCCUACGGGGCGCAGCAGUCGCGAAAACUUCACAAUGGAGGCAACUCCGAUGAGGGAAUUCCUAGUGCUAACACAUUAGUGUUAGCUUUUCUCUAGCGUAGAUAACUAGAGGAAUAAGGGCUGGGUAAGACGGGUGCCAGCCGCCGCGGUAAUACCCGCAGCCCAAGUGGUGGUCGAUUUUAUUGAGUCUAAAACGUUCGUAGCCGGUUCGAUAAAUCCUUGGGUAAAUCGGAAAGCUUAACUUUCCGACUUCCGAGGAGACUGUUGAACUUGGGACCGGGAGAGGCAAGAGGUACUUGAGGGGUAGGGGUAAAAUCCUGUAAUCCUUUAAGGACCACCGGUGGCGAAGGCGUCUAGCUAGAACGGAUCCGACGGUGAGGGACGAAGCCCUGGGUCGCAAACGGGAUUAGAUACCCCGGUAGUCCAGGGUGUAAACGCUGCAGACUUGGUGUUGGAGGCCCUUUGGGGGCAUUCAGUGUCGGAGAGAAGUUGUUAAGUCUGCUACUUGGGGAGUACGUCCGCAAGGAUGAAACUUAAAGGAAUUGGCGGGGGAGCACCGCAACAGGAGGAGCGUGCGGUUUAAUUGGAUUCAACACCGUAAAACU
rnacentral:rRNA from 1 species